rnacentral:rRNA from 1 species
AUUGAACGCUGGCGGCAUGCCUUACACAUGCAAGUCGAACGGUAACAGGUCUUCGGAUGCUGACGAGUGGCGAACGGGUGAGUAAUACAUCGGAACGUGCCUAGUAGUGGGGGAUAACUACUCGAAAGAGUGGCUAAUACCGCAUGAGAUCUAAGGAUGAAAGCAGGGGAUCGCAAGAACCUGUGCUACUAGAGCGGACGAUGGCAGAUUAGGUAGUUGGUGGGAUAAAAGCUUACCAAGCCGACGAUCUGUAGCUGGUCUGAGAGGACGAUCAGCGACACUGGGACUGAGACACGGCCCAGACUCCUACGGGAGGCAGCAGUGGGGAAUUUUGGACAAUGGGCGCAAGCCUGAUCCAGCAAUGCCGCGUGCAGGAUGAAGGCCUUCGGGUUGUAAACUGCUUUUGUACGGAACGAAAAGCCCUGGGUUAAUACCCUGGGGUCAUGACGGUACCGUAAGAAUAAGCACCGGCUAACUACGUGCCAGCCGCCGCAGUAAUAC